CACCGCGGUCAUACGAUGUCGUGCCCAAGUAGAUAAUCCACGGCGUAAAGUGUGGUUAGGGAGACACUACAACUAAAGCUAAACGCUGACCAGGCCGUGAUACGCAUUUGGCAGCAUGAAACCCCACCACGAAAGUGGCUUUAAACAAACCUGAACCCACGAAAGCCAGGAAA
rnacentral:rRNA from 2 species